CCUACGGGAGGCAGCAGUCGAGAAUCAUUCACAAUGGGGGAAACCCUGAUGGUGCGACGCCGCGUGGGGGAAUGAAGGUCUUCGGAUUGUAAACCCCUGUCAUGUGGGAGCAAAUUAAAAAGAUAGUACCACAAGAGGAAGAGACGGCUAACUCUGUGCCAGCAGCCGCGGUAAUACAGAGGUCUCAAGCGUUGUUCGGAAUCACUGGGCGUAAAGCGUGCGUAGGCUGUUUCGUAAGUCGUGUGUGAAAGGCCCGGGCUCAACCCGCGGACGGCACAUGAUACUGCGAGACUAGAGUAAUGGAGGGGGAACCGGAAUUCUCGGUGUAGCAGUGAAAUGCGUAGAUAUCGAGAGGAACACUCGUGGCGAAGGCGGGUUCCUGGACAUUAACUGACGCUGAGGCACGAAGGCCAGGGGAGCGAAAGGGAUUAGAUACCCCAGUAGUC
rnacentral:rRNA from 1 species